AGAGUUUGAUCAUGGCUCAGAACGAACGCUGGCGGCAGGCCUAACACAUGCAAGUCGAACGCUCUAGCAAUAGAGAGUGGCGCACGGGUGCGUAACGCGUGGGAAUAUACCCUUGACUACGGAACAACAUCGGGAAACUGAUGCUAAUACCGUAUAAUGACUCCGGUCCAAAGAUUUAUCGGUCAAGGAUUAGCCCGCGUCUGAUUAGCUAGUUGGUGAGGUAAUGGCUCACCAAGGCUACGAUCAGUAGCUGGUCUGAGAGGAUGAUCAGCCACACUGGGACUGAGACACGGCCCAGACUCCUACGGGAGGCAGCAGUGGGGAAUAUUGGACAAUGGGCGCAAGCCUGAUCCAGCCAUGCCGCGUGAGUGAUGAAGGCCCUAGGGUUGUAAAGCUCUUUCGGCGGGGACGAUAAUGACGGUACCCGCAGAAGAAGCCCCGGCUAACUUCGUGCCAGCAGCCGCGGUAAUACGAAGGGGGCUAGCGUUGUUCGGAAUCACUGGGCGUAAAGGGCGCGUAGGCGGCCAUUCAAGUCGGGGGUGAAAGCCUGUGGCUCAACCACAGAAUUGCCUUCGAUACUGUUUGGCUUGAGACCGGAAGAGGUAAGUGGAACUGCGAGUGUAGAGGUGAAAUUCGUAGAUAUUCGCAAGAACACCAGUGGCGAAGGCGGCUUACUGGUCCGGUUCUGACGCUGAGGCGCGAAAGCGUGGGGAGCAAACAGGAUUAGAUACCCUAGUAGUCC
rnacentral:rRNA from 1 species